rnacentral:piRNA from 1 species
UAGCUUCCAAAACAAAAACAAAAAACAAC